rnacentral:rRNA from 1 species
UACGUAGGGUGCGAGCGUUAAUCGGAAUUACUGGGCGUAAAGCGUGCGCAGGCGGUGAGCUGUGUCCGAUGUGAAAACCCAGGGCUCAACCCUGGGCCUGCAUUCGAUACGGGCAGACUAGAGUGUGGCAGGGGAGACUGGAAUUCCUGGUGUAGCGGUGAAAUGCGCAGAUAUCAGGAGGAACACCGGUGGCGAAGGCGGGUCUCUGGGCCAAUACUGACGCUGAGGAGCGAAAGCGUGGGGAGCGAACAGG